rnacentral:rRNA from 1 species
AUUCCAGCUCCAAUAGCGUAUACUAAAGUUGUUGCAGUUAAAAAGCUCGUAGUUGAAUUUCUGGUCGUGAAAAGUGGUCCGUUCCGCAAGGAAUGUGUACUGUCUAUUCAUGUCCAUCCUCGGAGUUAGUGUGUAUUACUUUAAUCGGUCGUGCAUGCAAUACUUCGUCAUUUACUGUGAGCAAAAUAGAGUGUUCAAAGCAGGCUUAUGCCGUUGAAUAUAUUAGCAUGGAAUAAUAAGAUAUGACUUUGGUCUAUUUUGUUGGUUUGCACUCCAAAGUAAUGAUUAAUAGGGAUAGUUGGGGGUAUUCGUAUUCAAUUGUCAGAGGUGAAAUUCUUGGAUUUAUGGAAGACGAACUACUGCGAAAGCAUUUACCAAGGAUGUUUUCAUCA